GACGAACGCUGGCGGCGUGCUUAACACAUGCAAGUCGAACGGUGAAGCGCCUUCCUUUUUGGUGGGUGUGGAUGAGUGGCGAACGGGUGAGUAACACGUGAGUAACCUGCCCCCUUCUUCUGGAUAACCGCAUGAAAGUGUGGCUAAUACGGGAUAUUCUGGGUCUGUCGCAUGAUGGGUCUGGGAAAGAUAUUGUUUCGGUUGGGGAUGGGCUCGCGGCCUAUCAGCUUGUUGGUGGGGUGAUGGCCUACCAAGGCGGUGACGGGUAGCCGGCCUGAGAGGGUGGACGGUCACACUGGGACUGAGACACGGCCCAGACUCCUACGGGAGGCAGCAGUGGGGAAUAUUGCACAAUGGGCGCAAGCCUGAUGCAGCGACGCCGCGUGAGGGAUGGAGGCCUUCGGGUUGUGAACCUCUUUCGCCAGUGAAGCAGGCCUGCCUCGUUUGUGGGUGGGUUGACGGUAGCUGGAUAAGAAGCGCCGGCUAACUACGUG
rnacentral:rRNA from 1 species